rnacentral:rRNA from 1 species
UUGGGUAGGGGAGCGUUCUGUAAGCCUGUGAAGGUGGCCUGUGAGGGUUGCUGGAGGUAUCAGAAGUGCGAAUGCUGACAUAAGUAACGAUAAAGCGGGUGAAAAGCCCGCUCGCCGGAAGACCAAGGGUUCCUGUCCAACGUUAAUCGGGGCAGGGUGAGUCGACCCCUAAGGCGAGGCCGAAAGGCGUAGUCGAUGGGAAACGGGUUAAUAUUCCCGUACUUGGUGUUACUGCGAAGGGGGGACGGAGAAGGCUAUGUUGGCCGGGCGACGGUUGUCCCGGUUUAAGCGUGUAGGCUGGUUUUCCAGGCAAAUCCGGAAAAUCAAGGCUGAGGCGUGACGACGAGGCACUACGGUGCUGAAGCAACAAAUGCCCUGCUUCCAGGAAAAGCCUCUAAGCAUCAGGUAACAUCAAAUCGUACCCCAAACCGACACAGGUGGUCAGGUAGAGAAUACCAAGGCGCUUGAGAGAACUCGGGUGAAGGAACUAGGCAAAAUGGUGCCGUAACUUCGGGAGAAGGCACGCUGACACGUAGGUGAAGUGAUUUACUCAUGGAGCUGAAGUCAGUCGAAGAUACCAGCUGGCUGCAACUGUUUAUUAAAAACACAGCACUGUGCAAACACGAAAGUGGACGUAUACGGUGUGACGCCUGCCCGGUGCCGGAAGGUUAAUUGAUGGGGUCAGCGCAAGCGAAGCUCCUGAUCGAAGCCCCGGUAAACGGCGGCCGUAACUAUAACGGUCCUAAGGUAGCGAAAUUCCUUGUCGGGUAAGUUCCGACCUGCACGAAUGGCGUAAUGAUGGCCAGGCUGUCUCCACCCGAGACUCAGUGAAAUUGAACUCGCUGUGAAGAUGCAGUGUACCCGCGGCAAGACGGAAAGACCCCGUGAACCUUUACUAUAGCUUGACACUGAACAUUGAGCCUUGAUGUGUAGGAUAGGUGGGAGGCUUUGAAGUGUGGACGCCAGUCUGCAUGGAGCCGACCUUGAAAUACCACCCUUUAAUGUUUGAUGUUCUAACGUGGACCCGUUACCCGGGUUGCGGACAGUGUCUGGUGGGUAGUUUGACUGGGGCGGUCUCCUCCUAAAGAGUAACGGAGGAGCACGAAGGUUGGCUAAUCCUGGUCGGACAUCAGGAGGUUAGUGCAAUGGCAUAAGCCAGCUUGACUGCGAGCGUGACGGCGCGAGCAGGUGCGAAAGCAGGUCAUAGUGAUCCGGUGGUUCUGAAUGGAAGGGCCAUCGCUCAACGGAUAAAAGGUACUCCGGGGAUAACAGGCUGAUACCGCCCAAGAGUUCAUAUCGACGGCGGUGUUUGGCACCUCGAUGUCGGCUCAUCACAUCCUGGGGCUGAAGUAGGUCCCAAGGGUAUGGCUGUUCGCCAUUUAAAGUGGUACGCGAGCUGGGUUUAGAACGUCGUGAGACAGUUCGGUCCCUAUCUGCCGUGGGCGCUGGAGAACUGAGGGGGGCUGCUCCUAGUACGAGAGGACCGGAGUGGACGCAUCACUGGUGUUCGGGUUGUCAUGCCAAUGGCACUGCCCGGUAGCUAAAUGCGGAAGAGAUAAGUGCUGAAAGCAUCUAAGCACGAAACUUGCCCCGAGAUGAGUUCUCCCUGAGACUU